AGCAGCCGCGGUAAUUCCAGCUCCAAUAGCGUAUAUUAAAGUUGUUGCAGUUAAAAAGCUCGUAGUUGAAUUUCGGGAUCAAUUUAUUGGUCGUGCUAUUGUACGUACUGGUAUUAUUGAUUCCUACCUUCUGACGAACCACGAUGCCAUUAAUUUGGUGUCAUGGGGAAUCAGGACUGUUACUUUGAAAAAUUAGAGUGUUUAAAGCAGGCUCACGCUUGAAUACAUUAGCAUGGAAUAACGAAAUAGGACGUUUGAUUCUAUUUUGUUGGUUUCUAGGAUCGACGUAAUGAUUAAUAGGGAUAGUUGGGGGCAUUAGUAUUCAAUUGUCAGAGGUGAAAUUCUUGGAUUUAUUGAAGACUAACUACUGCGAAAGCAUUUGCCAAGGAUGUUUUCAUUAAU
rnacentral:rRNA from 1 species